AUUGAACGCUGGCGGCAGGCCUAACACAUGCAAGUCGAACGAGUGGCGGACGGGUGAGUAAUGUCUGGGAAACUGCCCGAUGGAGGGGGAUAACUACUGGAAACGGUAGCUAAUACCGCAUACCAUCGGAUGUGCCCAGAUGGGAUUGGCUAGUAGUUGUGGUAACGGCUCACCUAGGCGACGAUCCCUAGCUGGUCUGAGAGGAUGACCAGCCACACUGGAACGGAGACACGGUCCAGUCUCCUACGGGAGGCAGCAGUGGGGAAGAUUGCACAAGGGGCGCAAGCCUGAUGCAGCCAUGCCGCGUGUAUGAAGAAGGCCUUCGGGUUGGAAAGUACUUUCAGCGAGGAGGCGUUACUCGCAGAAGAAGCACCGGCUAACUCCGUGCCAGCCGCCGCGGUAAUAC
rnacentral:rRNA from 1 species